rnacentral:rRNA from 1 species
AGCGAACGCUGGCGGCAGGCUUAACACAUGCAAGUCGAGCGGGCACUUUCGGGUUUCUGCGGCGGACGGGUGAGUAACGCGUGGGAACGUGCCCUCUGGUCCGGAAUAACCCAGGGAAACUUGAGCUAAUACCGGAUACGCUCUCUUGGGGAAAGGCUUGCUGCCGGAGGCUCGGUCCGCGUCUGAUUAGCUAGUGGGUGGGGUAACGGCUUACCAAGGCGAGGAUGAGUAGCUGGCUUGAGAGGAUGCUAAGCUACACUGGGACUGAGACACGGACCAGAACCGUACGCAGGGGAGGAGAGGGGAAUAUAAGGCGAGGGGGGCAGAUGUAACAAAGCCGUGCGGGGUGAGUGGUGCAGGGGGUAGUGUUGUACAGCCGCUUUAUCCGAGACGAUAAUGACGGUAACGGGGAAAUAAGCCCCGGCUAACUACGUG